CUGGGAAACCAGCAUUUUAGUGUUUUCUUUCCCUUAGCAUUCUUUCAGGGAUCUGGUCAAAGCAAAAGCCUUAGCCUUUCCAACAGACAUCCCCCAAUACUUACUACCUGCCUGAAUGUUACUGACUGUAUCAUACAUUUAUCUAUUACGCACCAUCAUUGUGACAGGGAGAAACCAGAGUGCUCUAGGGAAAAAAGGUUUCACUUUAAUCAAGAAAAGCUGGGUUUGAAUUCCAGGGCUGCCACAUAUUAACUGCAUGAGCUCUGAGCCUCUACUUGUUCUUUUAUAAAAUACAAAACCUUUCUGGGGGGCUGGGGAUGUGGCUCAAGCAGUAGCGCACUCGUCUGGCAUGUGUGCGUCCCGGGUUCGAUCCUCAGCACCACAUACAAACAAAGAUGUUGUGUCUGCCAAAAACUUAAAAUAAAUAAAUAUUAUUAAAAAAAAAAACCUUGCUGGAUUAUCAAAAAAGAUUAAAUGAGUUCAUAAAGUGCCUAACACAUAGAAAGCUUCUACAAGAAUCAGCUAAUCUGAACAUAUGCAAACACAUCAAGCACUGUUCAUUCUUUUUAAUGGCACAAUAGAGACAAAUGUUAUUUUCCCAGAAAGGCGGGCAUGUGGGUGUGGGUGUGGGUGGGGGUGUGAGUGG
rnacentral:lncRNA from 1 species